UCAUUGCUGAAGAGUCCCACAAUAGGACGAAGUGGCCGUCCAGUGC
rnacentral:hammerhead_ribozyme from 1 species